CAUUUCAGCCAUAUAAGCUGAUAUAUGCACAUAUGCUGGCCGAAGUGGGAAAACUUUCUGAUUCGCUAAAGUACUGUCAGGCAAUAUUAAAAUCUUUAAAAAUUGGUCGCGCUCCAGAAGUAGAAACAUGGAAACAAUUAAUAUUAUCCCUCGAGGAGAGGAUUAGAACCCAUCAACAGGGUGGAUACGCGGCAAAUUUGGCUCCAGCAAAGUUAGUAGG
rnacentral:misc_RNA from 1 species